GGCUGGUCCGAUGGUAGUGGGUUAUCAGAACUUACUAACAUUAGUGUCACUAAAGUUGGUAUACAACCCCCCACUGCUACAUUUGACUGGCUUAAU
ensembl:misc_RNA Y_RNA Y RNA